rnacentral:sRNA from 1 species
AUUGGCUAUCGGCCGCGGCAAAGGCAGCUUGGGGACCCAGCGUGCGCGGGGCCCGCGGGCCGGGCCGGGGUGACCUGGGCUGCAGCCAUGGAAGAACAGAGGAAUGAAGAAAUUCAGAGCUUUAUCUACUCCCUGAAACAGAUGCUGCUGAACGUGGAGGCGAACUCGGCGAAGGUGCAGGAGGACCUCGAAGCAGAGUUCCAGUCCCUCUUCUCCCUCCUGGAGGAGCUGAAAGAAGGCAUGCUUAUGAAGAUAAAACAGGACCGUGCCAGCCGCACCUACGAGCUGCAGAACCAGCUGGCUGCCUGCACGCGGGCCCUAGAGAGCUCCGAGGAGCUUCUGGAGACAGCCAACCAGACUCUGCAGGCCAUGGACAGCGAGGACUUUCCUCAGGCUGCCAAGCAAAUCAAAGAUGGAGUGACCAUGGCCCCUGCCUUCCGGCUGUCAUUGAAAGCGAAGGUCAGUGACAACAUGAGUCACCUCAUGGUGGACUUCGCACAAGAGCGGCAGAUGCUGCAGGCACUCAAGUUCCUGCCUGGUGAGAGGGGCACGCGCUGGAGGGCCAGGACUUCCAGGGAAUGACCUGGGAGGCUAGGAGGCCCUGAAACAGGACCUGGAGUAAGGUGGACGGCCCGGUGUCUGAAUUCCGCCGGGGGGAGGUGGAGCUCUGAGAAUUCCACGCCCUGUGGGGGGUGGAGUCCUCAUGGAGCCCCGCCCCUGGGUGGAGCCAUGGGAAGACCCCCCCACCUACUGUGUAGUGACAUCCUGGGAAAACUGUCCCCAGGGAUGGAGCUGUGAGAAUACCAUGUCCUGUGGGGGUGGUUGAGUCCUCAUGAAGCCCCGCCCUGGGGUGGAGCUAUGAGAAGGCCAAACUCACCAGGUGGGAAAAUCCUGUCCCCAGGGGUGGAGCCCUGAGAAUAGCACAUCCUGUGGGGGUGGGGUAUUCAUCAAGUCCCGCCCAUGGGUGGAGCCAUCAGAAAGCUCCACCCACCAGGGGGUGAGGUCCUGGGAAAACUCUGUCCCCAGGGGUGGAGCCCUGAGAAUACCAUGCCCUUGGGGGAGUAGCGUCCUCCU